rfam:Calypte anna contig17432, whole genome shotgun sequence.
GCAUGGCUGAAUUCUGCACUAGCUUUCCUCAGUAGUUGGUGCAGUCAGACACUAUGCCAGAGUAAAUUCCUGUUUCACACUCUGGGGUGCUUUUUCUGUGAGAAUGAGCGUGCCCUUGGAACUGGGAUACAGAA